GCAAACGCGGGGCCGGGUGGCGGGGUAAUACGGAGGGUGGAAGCGUGAAUCGGAAUUACGGGGCGUAAAGCGCACGGAGUGGGUAUGGUCAGUCAGAUGUGAAAGCCCCGGGCUCAACCUGGGAACGGAACCUGAUACUGCCAGACUAGAGUACGGUAGAGGGUAGUGGAAUUUCCGGUGUAGCGGUGAAAUGCGUAGAGAUCGGAAGGAACACCAGUGGCGAAGGCGACUGCCUGGACCGAUACUGACACUGAGGUGCGAAAGCGUGGGUAGCAAACAGGAUUAGAUACCCCGGUAGUC
rnacentral:rRNA from 1 species